ensembl:lncRNA
GGGCAAUUUAGCAACUUAGACCUUGUCUCAAAAUAACAAUAAAAUAAUAAUAAUAAUAAUAAUAAUAAUAGUAAAAGGUGUCUGGAAUGUAACUCACUUAAAAGCCUUAGGUUCAAAAGAUUGGGUUCAAUCUCCAAUACAAAAAAAAAAAAAAAAGAGGGAGAACAGCCUGGGAAUGUAGCUCAGUGAUAGAAUACUUGCCUAGUAUGAUGUGGUUCUAGCACCUAAAAAAACAAAUCAACAAAAUUUAGGGCUGGGGACUUAGCUCAGUGGUGCCACUGCCUGCCUCGAAAGCUCAAGGUCCCGAGUUCGAUCUCCGGUACCAAAAAUAAAUAAAUAAAAAUAUUGGCCUGACUCUUCCAUACUCUAGGAGACCCUCGUGUUAAUAAUGAGCACCCAUAACAUAGUCUGAGGUUAAUGCUAUUCCAUCAGGUUUCUUAAGUAUGAAGAAAAAAUAAAUCGUGAUUUUUUUUCUUUUAUCCUUUCAUCCAUGAAUGUGAUUGAAUGAUAUUGACAGAUUUUCUGCUGUUGGCCAUUGUUUUACUACUGGGAUAAUUCUUAUAUAAAUACCCUGUUGAAUUUGGUUGCCUAUUAUUUUAUUGAGGAUAUUUGCAUUUUUAAUUCCUUAAUUUCUAUUCCAUGAUCUAUGCAAUCUGACUAUUCCCUCUUAACGUUCUCUGCUGGAACUGCAAUCUCAGCACUGCCCUGGACACUAGGGUACACCAAUGGUUGAGCUAUAGUCCCUGUUUUUAACAGCUUUCCUCUAAUGACAGGAACAGAUAUUUGUACAAUUUGUAUAGUCAUAAGAGUUAUGCAACUAGAGGGCUUCUUUCCAAGGUAAAUGGAUUGUGAACCCUGGUCAAGCAGGUCAGCUUCCUUUUCCUUGGAUAUACCCCAGUGCUCUUGCUUAUCCCUUUACCUCAGCCUUUUCUGCUGAUUUUUGGUACAUGACUCCUGCACAAAAGCAAGAUGGAACCAUAUAAAGAUUGUGCCAGUGACUAAGAGCACAGCCCCAAAUGUAGGCUGUGCCUCUUACUACAGUAGUUAUAUGCCGGGGCAUAAUGUAUCGCCUCUCAAAGAACCCAUUUCCUUAUCUGUCAAAUUGCGAAUAAUGAUCAGACCUUCAUUACAAGAGGACACAGCAAGCUAAACUGUGAAGGCUUUUAACACUAGGCCUGACAGGUUGCCAGGGUAAACCAGGGUUUUCCACUUCUGUCCUUCUGUUAUUAUUCCUGGCCCACAAGGUCAUGGAAGUUUUUCCUUCUGACUAUGUGUAUGUGGGGGGGAGUACUGGGUAUGAAACCUGGGGCACUGUACUUCUGAGCUACAUCCCCACCCCUUUUUACUUUUUUAUUUGGAGACAGGGUCUCACUAAAUUGUCCAGGGUGACCUCAAACUUGUGAUCCUCCUACCUCAGCCUCCCCAGUGGCUGGGACUGCAGGUGUGUACCAUCAUGCAUAGCUUAAAUCUCUGAUUUUUUGAGGUAGUUGUUUGGGAGACAGGGUCUUGCUAUGUUGCACAGACUGGCCUUGUACUCAUGAUCCUCCUGUCUCCAUCUCCUUAUUAGCUGGGAUUGCAGGUGUGCACUUCUGUGCCUGGCUUGACCUCUGACAUUUGACAGCAGCUAAGUAACAUCAUUCUUUUUAUAUUUCAUCAUGUUCCUCAGGCAGUAAUAUUCUGUGUGUCUCAUUUGGCUUCUUGCGCUACCAUUUAAUAGCUGUUUGUAUUGUAGGCAAGUUAUUUAAUCUUUUACAAAGUCUAUUUUCCUAUCUUUAAAAGGAGCAUAAUUAUAGUACCUAUUUCAUAGGUAUGUCAAACAAAUUAAAUUAUGAAUAUACAUAAAAACCUACCAGAGUGCUUACCACAUAAGUAAUUAAUACAUGUUAGCUGUUUUCAAUUUUAGUUCUAUUACUGACAAGAUUGUAUGCUUCCUCUGGGUUUGGUGGCACUUGCCUGUCUGUAAUCCGGGCAUCCUGGGAGGCUGAUGCAGAAGGAUGAAAAGUUUGAGCCCAGCCUGGCAACUUAGCAAGACAUUGCCCUUCCCCUGCCCCCCAAAAAAGAGGGCCAGGGAUGGAGCUCAGUGCAAAGGCCCUGGGUUCAAUCCCCAAAUACAUGAAUGAAUGGGCGAGGGAUGUAGUUCUUUCUGCAUGAAGGAGCUAGUGUGCUUGUGCACGCACACACACAAAUUUAAACCAUGUAUAAAAAGUAAUUUGCACAGUCCUGGGAACCAGUUUUAAUUUGCACAGUCCUAGGAACCAGCUAAUAAUUAUAUUGUUUUGCUUUUUGUGACAAAAAGUCUUAUUUUCAGUGUUAGUCCAAUCUGGUGAAUGUUUAAACCUAAACUGGUCUAAAAGUUCUCACCUUUCUCCUAAGUUUGUAAACCUUGUUUCCAUUCAUUUAUUACAUCUUGUCAUCUGCUGAGCUCAGAUAAUUAAACUUAUGUCCAAAAUUAUUAAAAAAUGAAAAAAGAUUAUGCUUUUUAAGAGAGGGACUGUGUUUUGUAGUAUAGCAUAAUGGUUAGGAGCACAGACUGGAAUUUUGAGUUCAAGUUCAAACUCCACUGCAAGGGCUAGAGGUAUAGCUCAGUGGUAGAUAGAGAGCUUAGCAUGUGCACUGCCCUGGACUGAAUCCCAGCACCAAAAAACAAAACAAAACAAAACUUCAUGGCCAGCAUGUUUUUUAAGCAGGAGGAAAGCUCUGUAGGCCUUGGUUGGUAAGUCUGAUCUAGAGCCCUGUUCCCAGAGGUUAUAGAGAUUAAAUGAAAUCAUCCACUCAUUCAGCAUUUAGCACAGGGCCUGGCAUAAAUAUUCAUUUACUGUACUAACUUUUAUUUAGCACUUACUAAAAGUUUUAUUUAGCACUAAAUACUUCUGUGAAACCCACUGCCCCUACCUAACUUAACUCAUCUGAUAGUCUUUUAUCUGUUUCUUUUUUGUGUUUUAGGUGGGUUUUUUUCGGUACCAGGGAUCGAAGUAGGGUCCUUGUGCUUGUGAGGCAGGCGGCAGAACCACUGAGCUAAAUCCUUGAUAGUCUUUUAAAUACGUAUUGAAUGUAGAAAUGAAUUGGUGGAUGUGGACCUACAGACCAAAAAAUCUUGCCUGUUUUAGUGAGUUUGUCUCGAGUUAACAUUCCUUGUUCCUCUUCUGUGAGCUGGUGCCUAAGCCACAUUCUCAACAUCUCAACAUCUGUGAUAGCAGGAAGAGAUUAUGGAGAAGGGGAGCUUUCUGACACCAACCUUCCAUUUUAAUCAUCCUGUUGAGAUUUCAUCUUACCCCAGAAAGAAUGGCUAUCAUCAAGAAAUCAAACAAUAACAAAUGCUGGUGAGGAUGUGGGGAAAAAGGAACCCUUCUGCAUUGUUGGUGGGAGUGUAAAUGAGUAUAAUCACUAUGGAAAUCAGUGUGGAGAUUCCUCAAAAAACUAAAAAUAGAAAUUACAUUUGACCCAGCUAUUCCCAUUCAAGGUGUCUUCCCAAAAGAAUUAAAGACAUCAUAUUACAAGGAUACAGGGAUACAUGGGUAUCCAUGUUUAUAGCAGCAGAAUUCAUAAUAGCUAAAUCUCGGAAGUAGCCUAGAUGCCCAUCAACAGAUGAUAAAGAAAAUGUGGUAUUUAUACAAAACAGUACUACUCUCACAUAAACAAAGAUAAAUGGAGGCAUUCAUAGGUAAAUAGAUGUAAUUUGAGACCAUAACAUUAAGUGAAAUAAGUCAGACACACAAGUUUACCUCAUGGUUUCAUAUAUAGAGGGAGGGAGAGGGAUAAAGAGGAAAUAAGGAGUUCUUUUUCAAAUGGC